rnacentral:rRNA from 1 species
AGCCCGGAGAUGGACACUGAGACAAGGGUCCAGGCCCUAAGGGGCGCAGCAACCGCGAAACCUCCACAAUGCACUCACGUGCGAUGGGGCUAUCUCGAGUGCCACCUGAUGAAGGUGGCUUUUCCUUGGUCUUCAAAGCCUUGGGAAUAAGAGGGGGGCAAGACUGGUGUCAACCACCUCGGUAACACCAGCCCCUCGAGUGGUGGGGAUGAUUAUUUGGCCUAAAGCGUCCGUAGCCGGCCGAGCAAGUCUUCCGUUAAAUCCAGCGUCUCAAGCGUUGGACCGCGGGAGAUACUACACGGCUAGAGAGUGGGAGAGGUCAGCGGUAUUCUGGGGGUAGGGGCGAAAUCCUUUGAUCCCCGGAGGACCACCAGUGGCGAAGACUGCUGACUAGAACACGUCUGACGGUCAGGGACGAAAGCUGGGGUAGCGAACCGGAUUAGAUACCCGGGUAGUCCCAGCCGUAAACGAUGCAUGCUAGGUGUUGGGUUGGCCACGAGCCACCCCAGUGCCGCAGGGAAGCCGUUAAGCAUGCCGCCUGGGAAGUACGAUCGCAAGAUUGAAACUUAAAGGAAUUGGCGGGGGAGCACAAUCG